AGCAGCCGCGGUAAUUCCAGCUCCAAUAGCGUAUAUUAAAGUUGCUGCAGUUAAAAAAGCUCGUAGUUGAAUUUCGGGACCAUCACGUCGGUCGUGCCUCGGCACGUACUGGCGUCGUUGGUUUCUCCCUUCUGACGAACCAUGAUGUCAUUUAUUUGGUGUCGUGGGGAAUCAGGACUGUUACUUUGAAAAAAAUUAGAGUGUUUAAAGCAGGCUCACGCUUGAAUACAUUAGCAUGGAAUAAUGAAAUAGGACGUUCGAUCUUAUUUUGUUGGUUUCUAGGAUUGACGUAAUGAUUAAUAGGGAUAGUUGGGGGCAUUAGUAUUCAAUUGUCAGAGGUGAAAUUCUUGGAUUUAUUGAAGACUAACUACUGCGAAAGCAUUUGCCAAGGAUGUUUUCAUUAAUCAAGAACGAAAGUUAGGGGAUCGAAGACGAUCAGAUACCGUCGUA
rnacentral:rRNA from 1 species